rnacentral:rRNA from 1 species
UCGGCGUGCUUAAUACAUGCAAGUCGUGCGAGAAAUCCCGGGCUUGCUCGGGAGAGUAAAGCGGCGAACGGGUGCGUAACACGUGGGCAACCUGCCCUCGGGUUGGGGAUAAGCCUUCGAAAGGAGGUCUAAUACCGAAUAACAUCACAUCAGGGCAUCCUGGAGUGAUCAAAGAUGGCUUCGGCUAUCUCCUGAGGAUGGGCCCGCGCUCCAUUAGCUUGUUGGUGAGGUAACGGCUCACCAAGGCAUCGAUGGAUAGCCGGCCUGAGAGGGUGACCGGCCACACUGGGACUGAGAUACGGCCCAGACUCCUACGGGAGGCAGCAGUAGGGAAUAUUGCGCAAUGCCCGAAAGGGUGACGCAGCAACGCCGCGUGUGGGAUGAAGCUUCUUGGAGCGUAAACCACUGUCAGUAGGGACGAAAUGCUGUAGCUCUAAUAUAGCUACGGCUUGACGGUACCUGCAGAGGAAGCUCCGGCCAACUCCGUGCCAGCAGCCGCGGUAAUACGGGGGGAGCAAGCGUUGUUCGGAAUCACUGGGCGUAAAGGGUACGCAGGCGGGAAGGCAGGUCAGAUGUGAAAACCCAUGGCUUAACCAUGGGCCUGCAUCUGAUACCACCUUUCUUGAGUAUCGGAGAGGAAAGCGGAACUCCUGGUGUAGCGGUGAAAUGCGUAGAUAUCAGGAGGAACACCGGUGGCGAAGGCGGCUUUCUGGCCGAAUACUGACGCUCAUGUACGAAGGCCGGGGGAGCAAACAGGAUUAGAUACCCUGGUAGUCCCGGCGGUAAACGAUGGGUACUAGGUGUUGGAGGAAUCGACCCCUUCAGUCCGCAGCUAACGCACUAAGUACCCCGCCUGGGGAGUACGGCCGCAAGGCUGAAACUCAAAGGAAUUGACGGGGCCCCGCACAAGCAGUGGAGCAUGUGGUUUAAUUCGACACAACGCGAAGAACCUUACCUGGGUUUGAAAUGUUCAGGCAAGCUUCAGAGAUGAAGCCCCUCCGCAAGGAGUCUGUUCACAGGUGCUGCAUGGCUGUCGUCAGCUCGUGCCGUGAGGUGUUGGGUUAAGUCCCGCAACGAGCGCAACCCCUGCCCUUAGUUACCAGCGGUUCGGCCGGGAACUCUAGGGGGACUGCCGGUGACAAGCCGGAGGAAGGUGGGGAUGACGUCAAGUCCUCAUGGCCCUUACGUCCAGGGCUACACACGUGCUACAAUGACCGGUACAGAGGGUCGCAAGACCGCAAGGUGGAGCUAAUCCCUAAAACCGGCCUAAGUUCGGAUUGGAGUCUGCAACUCGACUCCAUGAAGUCGGAAUUGCUAGUAAUCGCGAAUCAGCAGGUCGCGGUGAAUACGUUCCCGGGGCUUGUACACACCGCCCG